CAGGAGGGUGCAAGCGUUAAUCGGAAUUACUGGGCGUAAAGCGAGCGUAGUCGGUUAUUUAAGUCGGAUGUGAAAUCCCCGGGCUCAACCUGGGAAUUGCAUUCGAAACUGGAUAGCUAGAGUUCGGCAGAGGGAAGCGGAAUUUCUGGUGUAGCGGUGAAAUGCGUAGAUAUCAGAAGGAACAUCAGUGGCGAAAGCGGCUUCCUGGACCAGAACUGACGAUCAGGCUCGAAAGCGUGGGGAGCAAACAGGAUUAGAUACCCUGGUAGUCCACGCCAUAAACGAUGACAACUAGACGUUGGGGACAUAUGGUCCACAGUGUCGCAGCUAACGCGUUAAGUUGUCCGCCUGGGGAGUACGGCCGCAAGGUUG
rnacentral:rRNA from 1 species